rnacentral:rRNA from 2 species
GGGGGCUGGGGGUGACUAUACAUGCAAGUCGAGCGGACAGAUGGGAGCUUGCUCCCUGAAGUCAGCGGCGGACGGGUGAGUAACACGUGGGCAACCUGCCUGUAAGACUGGGAUAACUUCGGGAAACCGGAGCUAAUACCGGAUAACACCGAGGACCUCAUGGUCCUUGGUUGAAAGAUGGCUUCGGCUAUCACUUACAGAUGGGCCCGCGGCGCAUUAGCUAGUUGGUGAGGUAACGGCUCACCAAGGCGACGAUGCGUAGCCGACCUGAGAGGGUGAUCGGCCACACUGGGACUGAGACACGGCCCAGACUCCUACGGGAGGCAGCAGUAGGGAAUCUUCCGCAAUGGACGAAAGUCUGACGGAGCAACGCCGCGUGAGCGAUGAAGGCCUUCGGGUCGUAAAGCUCUGUUGUUAGGGAAGAACAAGUACCGUUCAAAUAGGGCGGUACCUUGACGGUACCUAACCAGAAAGCCACGGCUAACUACGUGCCAGCAGCCGCGGUAAUACGUAGGUGGCAAGCGUUGUCCGGAAUUAUUGGGCGUAAAGCGCGCGCAGGCGGUUCCUUAAGUCUGAUGUGAAAGCCCACGGCUCAACCGUGGAGGGUCAUUGGAAACUGGGGAACUUGAGUGCAGAAGAGGAAAGCGGAAUUCCACGUGUAGCGGUGAAAUGCGUAGAGAUGUGGAGGAACACCAGUGGCGAAGGCGGCUUUCUGGUCUGUAACUGACGCUGAGGCGCGAAAGCGUGGGGAGCAAACAGGAUUAGAUACUUGGGGAUAGUC